GACAGAGGGGGCAAGCGUUGCUCGGAAUUACUGGGCGUAAAGGGCGCGUAGGCGGAAUGGCAAGUCGGUCGUGAAAUCCUUCGGCUCAACCGAAGAACGUCGAUCGAAACUGCCGUUCUUGAGGAUUGCAGAGGAGACUGGAAUUCCCGGUGUAGCGGUGAAAUGUGUAGAGAUCGGGAGGAACACCGGUGGCGAAGGCGGGUCUCUGGGCAAUUCCUGACGCUGAGGCGCGAAAGCGUGGGGAGCGAACGGGAUUGAGAA
rnacentral:rRNA from 1 species